CCAAGGUUUGCUGGAUGAGGGAGAGAGAGAGACCAAGGUUUGCUGGAUGAGGGAGAGAGAGAGACCAAGGUUUGCUGGAUGAGGGAGAGAGAGAGACCAAGGUUUGCUGGAUGAGGGAGAGAGAGAGAGAGACCAAGGUUGCUGGAUGAGCGACAGAGAGAGAGAUGCAGCAGAUGAUAGGAAAGAUAAAACAGACACCAGCACAAUUAGGCGUUCCUGCUGUGUCUCUCACUGAAGCUGGUUCACUGGCCAGCUGUAAGCUCCAGCCUCCCCUACUGCACACUGCAGAUAGCUUCAUGACGGCUCUGUGCACAACUGCGCAUACACACACACACACACAACAGCCCCAGCACACACAUUGCAGCGUUCAAGUUAGCUCAGAGCAGACACUGCAGCUUUCAUGUUUACACAGUUCAGUCCUGCAAACAUGCGCACACACACACACACAUACACACACACACACACACACAUAUAUUCUUUCUGCAGUACUGAUAGCGCUGGGGCGUUCUCCUUCAGCAAGCAUGAGUACACACAGUACAGAGGUAGAAAGACAGGAGCGAGAGAGGGAGAGAAAGAGGUAGAGAAAAAGAGGGGGAGGUAGAGUGGGAGGCAAAUGAAGAGAAGAGACACAGACACACUGCACCUGCAGAAAACACAAGUAUACACCCACACAGUUGAAGAGCAUGCUGAACAUUAUCUUUGUGUCCUUGCUUUGCAGUGAACAGCUCUAAUGGGUGGUUUGUAUGUGUCCUCCAGGCUUUGUAAAUAGAACCACCACCCAGGUCCAGUGAGAAUCACCUAUGCAGCGUGACAGCCAGGACAUCCCGCCUCCAACCACAGCUGACCAUGAGGAUGAGUCAUGAGAGGACAUCAUGACAGACAAACGCAUCAGCCAAUCGGGACGUAGGGGCUCCUCUUAGGCACCGAUGAUUGCAGCAAUACAGGCACAGGACAGCAGGUCCAUUAGAGAAACCCACAUAGCCCCGGCAACAGCCCAUGAUAACCAGACAGACAGACAGACUGACUGACUGCAGUGUGUUCACAGGCUUUCCACAGCUCUGUCUGUUUCUGACGUCUAGAUACAUGACAGCCAUGGUUACUUAGAGACCAGCCCUCCACGGAGAGAGGGGGACGCAGUGUACUGCUCAGCAUCUGGAAUGGUCCCUAUCAUUCUUGGACAACUGGUGAACUGUGAUUGGUCAGACCAGGUCCUCUGUGGCUACGCUGUCUGAGUUCCAAGUGUGUGUGUAUGUCGGGGGUGUGUGUGUGUGUGUGGGUGUGUGUGUGUGAGAAGAGAGCGUAUCAAGAUGUCAUGCGUCAUAAGAUGCCGCCCCUCCACUGGAUGUAUUUUAAUGUGCGCUUAAGUGUUAUACAAUUGUACAUGGCGUGCUUCAACAGGUUCUAAAUAUGAUUAUGAUAUUGAGAGAAAAAAAAUAACAGUAUUUUAAUAUAACGCUCUUCUUCCGAGAUGUAUUUGGAUGUGCAUAUUAUGGCUAUACGACCCCACUGAGUCAAUGUGGAUAUCUGUCCUGCUUUGUGUUCAAUAAAAAAAAAAGAUAGGAUAAAAAAAUAAUAAUAAUCCACAUCAAUAGCCACACCAUCGUAGUACUUAGAACACAGGCCUAAUAUGCUGCUUCAUUCUGAGUGGGUUGUGAGCUGGUGUGGAUAUUGGGUCAAAGUUCACGCAGUCAAAGUUCAGCCAAUGUGCACACAUAACAUGAUGCACAGUAGAUGCCACAUCACCAUGAAGGUGAAGGAAAGGUCAGGCCCUAGGGCCCGGGCUAAUGUCCUCUCUCACGGUACAUCUCAUCACAGACCCCCAUUGAUAUCGCCGCUGUUCUCCAUCACCGAAUGCAAGGCUGCUUUUACCAUAGAAGUAACUGGGACACGACUCGGAACGGAUUCUUAGCACUGUCUCUAUCCUCCCAGUGUGUUCGUAACGUAGCCUCCAUCUAACUACAGCAUCCGGUCAGCUGACACACUCAGCGAGCAUCCAGACAGGAGCAAGUCACCCCACCGCCAAACCUCUCGUUGUUCUAUUGCUCUCAUUAUUUAAUGGUGUACAUAGUAUUUGACGCUGUUUAAAUGGAAGACGUGAUGUACUAAUAUAAUUGUGUAUAGUAUUUCCUAGAGAUGUUUAUUUUCUAUGAAAUGUUAUUGCUUAUAAAAUGUUAUUAAAAGAAUCCAUAAAAAAUUAAAAGACUUUUGGGAAUGUCACUGGUUCUAAGUUGAGCAUGCAGUUUCUUUUUCAUGUUUCUCUUGUUUUAAAUCGAUGACACUACAUCACUUUGUUUGAAAUGUUUUUGUAACGCCGAUGUCAAAUAUACCAGCACCUUUCAAUGCUGCUCAGACCAAG
ensembl:lncRNA